UGAGGAACAUGACCUUCGGCGGGGGAUAGCCGGCCCAACGGCCGGGUAAUACCGCGUACGACCAUUUGGGGACAUCCCCGAGUGGUGAAAGCAGUAAUGCGCCGAUGGAGUGCCUCGCGGCCUAUCAGCUAGUUGGUGGGGUAACGGCUCACCAAGGCAACGACGGGUAGCUGGUCUGAGAGGAUGGCCAGCCACAUUGGGACUGAGACACGGCCCAGACUCCGUACGGGAGCAGC
rnacentral:rRNA from 1 species